UACGUAGGUCCCGAGCGUUGUCCGGAUUUAUUGGGCGUAAAGCGAGCGCAGGUGGUUUAAUAAGUCUGAUGUAAAAGGCAGUGGCUCAACCAUUGUGUGCAUCGGAAACUGUUAGACUUGAGUGCAGUAGAGGAGAGUGGAAUUCCAUGUGUAGCGGUGAAAUGCGUAGAUAUAUGGAGGAACACCGGUGGCGAAAGCGGCUCUCUGGACUGUAACUGACACUGAGGCUCGAAAGCGUGGGUAGCAAACAGG
rnacentral:rRNA from 1 species